GGCGACCGGCGCACUGGUGAGUAACACGUAUGCGACCUGCCCCGUUGCUGGGGGAUAACCCCGGGAAACUGGGCCUAAUACCCCAUGAACCACGGAAUCGCAUGGUUUUGUGGUAAAAGGUUUUUCCGGCGCGGGAUGGGCAUGCGGCGCAUUAGCUAGUUGGUGAGGUAACGGCUCACCAAGGCGACGAUGCGUAGGGGUUCUGAGAGGAAGGUCCCCCACACUGGUACUGAGACACGGACCAGACUCCUACGGGAGGCAGCAGUGAGGAAUAUUGGUCAAUGGACGGUAGUCUGAACCAGCCAAGUCGCGUGCGGGAUGAAGGCCCUUUGGGUCGUAAACCGCUUUGGUCGGGGAGCAACGUGCGGGACGUGUCCCGCAGUGAGCGUACCCGAAGAACAAGCAUCGGCUAACUCCGUGCCAGCAGCCGCGGUAAUACGGAGGAUGCGAGCGUUAUCCGGAUUCAUUGGGUUUAAAGGGUGCGCAGGCGGCACAUCAAGUCAGCAGGUCAAACUGCGGCGCUCAACGCCGUAUCGCCGUUGAAACUGAUGAGCUUGAGAUGCGUGCGAGGGAGGCGGAAUGCGCAGUGUAGCGGUGAAAUGCAUAGAUAUUGCGCAGAACUCCGAUUGCGAAGGCAGCUUCCCAGCGCGCCACUGACGCUCAUGCACGAAAGCGUGGGUAUCGAACAGGAUUAGAUACCCUGGUAGUCCACGCGGUAAACGAUGAUCACUGGCUGUGCGGUUUAAUUGCGAAUUGCGCGGCUGAGCGAAAGCGUUAAGUGAUCCACCUGGGGAGUACGCCGGCAUACGGUGAAACUCAAAGGAAUUGACGGGGGCCCGCACAAGCGGAGGAACAUGUGGUUUAAUUCGAUGAUACGCGAGGAACCUUACCCGGGCUCGAACGGUACAUGUCGUGAUGCGUGAAAGGCGUCAUUCUCCUUCGGAGCAUGUAUCGAGGUGCUGCAUGGUGUCGUCAGCUCGUGCCGUGAGGUGUCGGCUUAAGUGCCAUAACGAGCGCAACCCCCAUUCCUGGUUGCCACCGCGUAGUGGCGGGCACUCCAGGGAGACUGCCGGCGCAAGCUGUGAGGAGGGCGGGGAUGACGUCAAAUCAGCACGGCCCUUACGUCCGGGGCGACACACGUGUUACAAUGGCGGGGCAACAGAGGGAAGCCAGGCGGCGACGCCGAGCAGAUCCCGAAAACCCGUCUCAGUUCGGAUCGGAGUCUGCAACUCGACUCCGUGAAGCUGGAUUCGCUAGUAAUCGCGAAUCAGAAUGUCGCGGUGAAUACGUUCCCGGGUCUUGUACACACCGCCCGUCACACCAUGGGAGUCGGAAAUGCCCGAAGCCUGUGACCCAA
rnacentral:rRNA from 1 species